CACGAACCGUACGAACGUUAUUCGGAAUUACUGGGCUUAAAGGGUUUGUAGGCGGCCAUGUAAGUCAGGUGUGAAAUCCCUCGGCUCAACCGAGGAACGGCGCUUGAUACUGCAUGGCUUGAGGGAGACAGGGGUAAGCGGAACUCCUGGUGGAGUGGUGAAAUGCGUAGAGAUCAGGAAGAACACCCGUGGCGAAGGCGGCCCACUGGGCCGGUACUGACGCUGAGGCGCGAAGGCGUGGGGAGCGAACGGG
rnacentral:rRNA from 1 species